GGACCAGAUUGGGCAUUCAUUUCAUUCUAGGGGAGGGAAGGAAUCCCAGUUCUCUUGAAUGCUACUCAUAUAUCUAGACAGCAGAUGCAAUCUGUACUGUGCUCUGCUUUCAGAAUAUCAGGACCAAGGCAAGGGAAGUGGAUGUAUGUAUUCACAUGUGCAUGGAUCCACAAGAAACCAUGAAUUUGGAGGAGCAGGUAUAAAAUACCCAUGGAUACCCCUAAAAGGAGCCACAGGCUGCAGUGACAGAUCACCCUGACCUCCAUCCUUCUCCAAAGCUCCAGGGGUGAUGACAUGAAUCUCCCAGGACUGUUCAGGACAUCAAGACAGACCCAAGGCAGACUCUGCCUACACCAUCCAGAUGAAGCAGUUGUGUCCUGGAGGUACCUGCUCCUCUCAGUAAUUAGUGAAAUAGCUCUUGGGAGAAUCUGCAGUGAGUCAGGGAAAGGUUGUCUGGAAAUGAGACACCAGAGGAAGCAAAAGAAGAAGCCAAAGGCACGGGCACCAUCAAAAUGGAUUAAAGCAUGGAGAAGCAGGAUAGCUGGAUGGGGCUCUCAGAAUCUAGAAGGUACUACAACUUGUCUGCCUGCAGAUCCCUUCUGUGCUGCAACCUCUGCUCACUGCUUUGUUUGCAGAGAUAAGUCAGUCUUAUCUGGAAAUAUCUCUGUACUUGAAACUUCUAAGCAGAGCAGAUGUACACAGCUCCUCGUGCUGUGGAGUAACCUGUGAGGUUGGACUAUCUGGUCUCAUAAAGCAGACUCUGUCAUCAGCAGUCUGCUUUCUGAAGUUUCUGCAUGGGUUAACU
rnacentral:lncRNA from 1 species